UUCAGGUCACAGCAUCAACUCCUCUCCCUGCAAUCGAGUCUUCAGAAGGAAUUACCAGGACCGCUUCUUUGCCGUCAGGUUCGGAACCCGUGUCUCCUGUAGCUCAAUCACCUUAGAGCAGAUCCACCUAAGGUUGUCCGUUCGUCUACAGCCAUAUCAGCAUCAGGACUGAGUAUGCUAGCUGGAACUACAUCAAUACCUAAAAGGGUAAGAGCAUCUCUUUGCAUUUUGUUUGUUAAUCUUCUUAUGGUCUGUUGACACUUUCCACUUGAAGAAGAUGGUGCGAUCUGCCUAAUGAUUGUUGUACAGGGUGAUUUGACACGCCGCCUGAAAGUACUAGUUGUGAAUAUUGGAUAUCUGUAGCAUUACAUUUUGAACCUUAAUUUUGGUCUGCUAACUCUAGCUUGCUUUUCCAUGUUCAUCAGAAUGUGGUUUAUUUUUGUAAUAAAAAACAUGUCGCUCCUUGAGUGACAGCUUUUAUGGGCUGUAGAAAAGAAUGACUUUAAAGAAAAUGUACUUUGUGGAUGUUCUAUAUGUCAUGGAACUUUGACCCUGCCAUUUUUUUGACAUGGUAUCUUGGAGUGUCUAUUUUGUACAUAUAAUAUAUUGUACGAUUCUAUAGCUGUUAUUAGUAAUUCUGUUAUAGAGUAUCUUGGUGUAUUCGACGGCGGUUUUUGAAAUCCUAUUGAGAAUAUUUUUCAAGGAACUCGAGGCGAAUGUCUUGGUUUCGAAGAAGCAGAAAGUGAAACAUCUGGACGAGAAGAAAAAGAAGUGCAAGGCUGGUAAGGUCGAGACUCAUCUUGAAUUCCCUGGACGUAAAAAGGUUAAAUUUGGUGAAGUUGUCGAAGCUCCACCAAAGUUAUCAUUCCCAAAGAGGUGAUCGACGCUGACAAGCGCGGCCCGGUGGCGCUGUGCUCUUCAACCACUCAGAGGCGGACUUCGCCGUGAAGCCCGGUGGCCACGUCGCACAGAUGAUCGUCCAGGUGAUUUCGACGCCGGAAGUCGCUGAUGUGGAGGACCUCGACGCCACCGUCCGCGAGAGGGAGGAUUCGUGUCCAGCGGCGUCUGAACUCCUAGCCUUGUAGAUACAUCUAGAGAGGUGGUCUGUUUAGGUUGGUGGCCACUAGGGAAGGUAACCCACCUUAAAAUGAUGGACGUAUUACCAUUCAUGAGUACUACAUCUAAUUUUUAUUUUUUUUAA